rnacentral:tRNA from 2 species
GGUCUUAUGGUCUAGGGGUAUGAUUCUCGCUUAGGGUGCGAGAGGCCCCGCGUUCGAAUCGCGGUAAGACCC